UUUUUUUUUCUUAUUGUUCAGUUUUAAAAUUUCUUUGAAUAUUUUGGAUACAAAUCCUUUAUCAGACAUGUAUUUUGCACAUAUUUUCUCCCAAUCUAUAUCUUGUCUUUUCAUUCUCUUAACAGUGUCUUUUCUGACUAGGAGUUUUUAAUUUUAGUAAAGUCCAGCUUAUCAAUUUUUUUCUUUCCCAAAUUAUGCUUUUACUGUUGUAUCUAGAAACUCAUAAUUUAUGGGACCCCUGGAUAACUCAAUGGUUGAACGCCUGCCUUCAGCUCAGGGUGUGAUCCCAGAGUCUGGGAUCCAGUGUCACAUUGGGCUCCCUGCAGACAGCCUGCUUCUCCCUUGCCUGUGUCUCUGCCUCUCUCUGUGUCUCUCAUGAAUAAAUAAAAUCUUUAAGAAAGACAGAAAGAAACUCAUCACCAAAUCCAAAGUUACCUAGAUUUUUCUCUUGUGUUUUCAUCCACAAAUUUUAUAAUUUUGCACUUUACACUAUGAUCCAUUUUAAUUUCACUAUGAUCCAUUUUAAUUUGGUUUUGACAAACUGUAUAAGGUCUGUGGAUAGAUUUAUUUUUUUGCAAACAGAAAUCCAAUUAUUCCUGUACCAUUUGUUGAAAAGACUACCUCCUUAGCUAUCUUGUAGAAUAUUACUCAGCCAUCAGAAAGGAUGAAUACCUACUAUUUAUACUGAGGUGGAUGGAGCUGGAUGGUAUUAUGCUAAGUGCAAUAAUCAGAAAAAGACAAUUAUCAUAUGAUUUCACUCAUAAGUGAAAUAUGAGAAAUACUGAAAGGGACCAUAAGGGAAAGAGGGGAACCUGAGUGGGGAAAAAUUAGAGGGGAAGACAAGUCAAAAGACUCUUAACUCUGGGGAACAAACAAUAGUUGCUGGAGGGGAGGUGGGGGGCGAUGGCGUAACUGGGGGUAGUAAGGAGGGCACAUGAUAUGAUGAGCACUGAGUGUUAUACUAUAUGUUAGCAAAUUGAAUUUAAAUAAAAAAAAAUUUUAGUGCCAUAAAGAAAGAGCUAUCCCUGAUAGAUGGCCAAUGAGGACACAGCUGUCCAUGUGGGAGCCAACUCAUGACUUGAACAACCCUAUGAAGCUAGUCUGUUCUUUGCUCUUUUUCCAGAGAGAAUUGCUGUAAAAAUACUUCAAGAAAACAGCAUUUACCUUUUCUUUUCUUUAAGAUCUCCAGAAUCUUCAAGAUAUAGCCUUUCUUGAUAGCAUGCAGUCUAAAGCUUCGCCUCUGCUACGUUGUGUGAGACACCUUAUCAGUUGUGUGGUCUUUAAUUUUAAGUGGUUGCACAUGACAUUUUCAAAAGGUGAAAAGAAAUAAAAUGUGACUCAUUAAAAACAGAAUUAUAUGUAUCCUUCAAAGUGAACAUGGGUAUAAAUUAAAAUAUUAUGUCUUUUAGCACUUCAUGACACUCAGAGCAAGUAAAACUUCAAAAGAGUCACAAGCCUUUGCCUAAUUAUAUUCAUCUAAUAAAGAACUAAAAAAUCAUUCUGAUGUUUAAAUAUCAGAUACCUGAAAUGUUUUAAUAGAUUUUAGUCAAUUCCAGAAUGGUACUUAUAUAUGAAAAAGAGAUUGAGUCUCCUUUUGAAGCAAAAUACAAUAAACAGAACAAAAAGAUUCUUUUAUACUGUUGUUUCAUUGAUGGCUUUUACACAGCCCACAAACUCUUUAUAAUGAACUAUCAAUAAAGUUCAGCUUCUAAAUGUCCCCGAGCAUGGAGAUGGAUGCUGACUUAUGGGGCCCUGAAAAAAAAAAAUUGAUCAGAUCUUGAGAUUCAAGGCAAGCUGUGUGGUAGGUAAUCUUAACUCCAAGGUUUCUAGCCAGUCAGAAGAAGGAUUUAUUUGUAGGUUUCUCAAUCUCUUACUGGCAAUAAACAAAGUCUGUGGGUCUCCAUGCCCCACAAGAGGUAUAUCAGAAAAACACACAACUAUGGAUUUUACCUUACUAGUUUUCUACAUCAAGGGAUCCUACCUGCUUCUCUUGGCCAUAGGCACAUCCUUAGUUGAGUCCUUUUUGUUUCUAAACACCAUGUCACCACCACCCUGCUUAGCUAUACUCCAGGGCUGUUCCAUUUGACUAUUAGUGAUUUCUGAGUAUGACUGGAAUAAAUUUCCAGAAUUCAACAGACAGAAAGACUAAGGCAGCCAAGUCUUCAGGAAGACCUCUAAUUUUAGGAAAAGAUUAUUCUCCCUCUGAUAGAUUUUAACCACCACUUUAGGCCUACUCUUGGAGGAGAUAAUUUCUAAUUUCCCUUGGAUUGCAAGUUUCAAGAGUACUGGCUCUCCAUGAUACUCCAUAAAAAUCACCAUCAGGGUUUCAUAAACAUGUAGAUCCUAGGCUCCACAGUUAAAGAUCCAAUUCCAUUGAUCUGGAAUGGAGUCCAGGAAACUGGAAGCUGAACAAAUUCCUACAGGGGAUUUGUAAACCAUUUGAAGAAACAUUGGACAGUCCCUUAGGACAAAUGUCUCACUUACCAGAUGAUUUGUAAGUGCUUACUGGUGAAUGAAUAUUAAAAUGCUUACUGUAACCAUUUAUCAUUGCUCUUAGAAAUUAUUAAACAGUAGGAAAGGCCAGUUUGCCACAAAUAUUUUUAAACAACUAGCUAUUUAGCUAAACAUUGACCAUUUUUGCAAUUCUGCAAUCCAAAUAUAUCCUUUAUUUAAAAGUAAAUGCAUCUAAUAUCCACAAACCUAAACAAUAUCUCCAAGAUUUAAUGUAGUCAGUUCAAAGUAUGUGGAAUAACAAUCAGUAGCAGUUAAAAAUAAUGAGCAUGGGGACCACAAAAGACCCCAAAAAGCCAAAGCAAUCUUGAGAAAGAACAAAACUGGAGAUAUCACAACUUCAGGUUUCUGUUUGUUUGUUUUUUAAAUAUUUUAUUUAUUUAUUCAUGAGAGAGAGAGAGAGGCAGAGUCACAGGCAGAGGGAAAAGCAGGCUCCAUGCAGGGAGCCCGACGUGGGACUCAAUCCCGGGUCUCCAGGAUCAAGCCCUGGGCUGAAGGCGGUGCUAAACCUUUGAGCCACCCAGGCUGCCAAAACUUCAGGUUUUAAGUUAUACUACAAAGUAGAGUAGUGAUCAAAACAAUAUGGUACUGUCACAAAAAUAGACAUAAAUCAAUUAAAUAGACUAAAGAACCCAGAAGUGAACCUAUGUUUAUAUGGCCAAUUAAUCUACAACAAAAGAGGCAAGAAUGUGCUAUGAGAAAAAGAGUCUCUUUGAGGAACCUCCACACAGUUUUCCAGAGUGGCUGUACCAGUUCACAUUCCCACCAAUAAAUGGUGCUGGGAAAACUGGACAGCUAUAUGCAAAAAAUAAAACUAGAUUGCUUUCUUACACCAUACACAAAAAUAAACUCAAAAUUGGUUAAGGACCUAAAUGUGAGAUCUAAAAGCAAAAAAAUUCCUAGAAGAAAACACAGGCAGUAGUUCUUUGACAUUGGCCAUAGAAGCAUUUUUUUACAUAUAUCUCCUCUAGCAAGGGAAGUGGGGGGUUAAAAGGUUAAUCUGUGAAAUAGAUAAAGGGGGUUAAGAGGUAAAAAAUUCCAAUUAUAAAAUUAACAAAUCAUGGAGAUGAAAAGUACAGCAUAGAGAAUAUAGUCAAUAAUACUGUUGUAACAUUGUUCCAUGAUAGAUGGUACGACACUUCUCAUGGUCAGCACUAAUUAAUAUAUAGAAUUGUUGAAUCAUUAUUCUAUACAUCUGAAGCUAAUGUAAUACUGUAUUUUAAUUAUACUUCAAUAAAAAUAAUAUUAAUUAAUUAAUGAGCAUGGAGAGAAGAAGUGCAUAGAAUAUUUUUAGAUUGCUGCAAACAACAUGAACUGCUUUACAAGGAUCAACAAAAUCUGAAUUCUAAUCUGAGUGUGAAUGACUUUUUUAAAGAUUUAAUUCAUUUAUUUACUUUAGAGAGACAGGAAGAGAGAAAGAGAGCAC
rnacentral:lncRNA from 1 species